rnacentral:rRNA from 1 species
GACGAACGCUGGCGGCGUGCCUAAUACAUGCAAGUCGAACGCUUCUUUCCUCCCGAGUGCUUGCACUCAAUUGGAAAGAGGAGUGGCGGACGGGUGAGUAACACGUGGGUAACCUACCCAUCAGAGGGGGAUAUCACUUGGAAACAGGCGCUAAUACCGCAUAACAGUUUAUGCCGCAUGGCAUAAGAGUGAAAGGCGCUUUCGGGUGUCGUUGAUGGAUGGACCCGCGGUGCAUUAGCUAGUUGGUGAGGUAACGGCUCACCAAGGCCACGAUGCAUAGCCGACCUGAGAGGGUGAUCGGCCACACGGGGACUGAGACACGGCCCAGACUCCUACGGGAGGCAGCAGUAGGGAAUCUUAGGCAAUGGACGAAAGUCUGACCGAGCAACGCCGCGUGAGUGAAGAAGGUUUUCGGAUCGUAAAACUCUGUUGUUAGAGAAGAACAAGGACGUUAGGAAAUGAACGUCCCCUGACGGUAUCUAAAGAAGAAGCAACGGCUAACUACGUG